rnacentral:lncRNA from 1 species
GCAUCUCGCGGCCCUCACCACGGAGCCUCGGUCAGCUAGGCUGUCCUCCGUCGCGCACUCGCAUAAUUUUUCGAUCGCCGAGCCUGCAACAGCAUUAUUUUCCAACCAUCAUCCUUCGAUUCCCACGAAAUGAGAGGUACAAUUGAGGAAAGUUGCAAUUACAAGACUCGGACAAUAUUUUCUUUUUUUCAUGAUUAAAAGAGCUACUUUCCUCGAUGGACACAUCGGCGACAAUCUCGAUUAAUCGGAUUAAACCGAGAAGAAAUAAAGAAUUCUCUUGGAGAGAGAAAGAGAGAAGCUCUUCGAAAUACGGCGCGUAAUCGAGGGAGGAGAAGAGCAAUCGCAUCGAAGCUUAACGAUAAUCGAAAGCAAUCCAAACAUUCGUUACGUUGUUUUUCUGCAAGAAAAUUGCGCGAAGGAAGGGAGCGGUAACGAUGUUUAGUUUAGGAAAGUAGUAUUAUUUUUCACGAUUAAAUCGUUUGCUGCAGAUAUUUAACUCGAAAUUUUUUCGAAUUUCAGAAAGAAUCGUAUUAAGAAUCUAACUAAUUUCUCUUUAAUAAAUCUCAACAUUUCGUUUAAUUUGAUCGAUCGAAUAAAUUGUUUGAUUAAUUGUGAGAUGAUCCAAGUCCAUUUGGAUCUGAUUGGAUAAAACUGAUAAAUUUUGCCACAACGAUUUCAACAUUUUCUAAUAAAUUAGAAAGAUACGAAUAUUCUCUAAUCAAUCUUCAUUUCAAGUAUUAUUUCAAGAGGAUAGAAAAAACGAGCUUACAUUUCGAUAACAAACAAUCAGUUAUGAAUCUAUAUGAAAAAUGAAAAAUGGAAACGAAAAAAUUUGUACUUGCUUGAACUUUAAUCUCCAUUUAUAAUAAACGUGCAGAGGCAAGAUCCUCUGUUUUACAGCGAAACAAUCCACAGUUCGAUCACAGUAUUUUUACAAAUUGGAAAUAAUUCCAGUGGUUAUUUGUACAUAUAUAUAUAUACAUUGGACGGAAUUGGAUCAUCCUCCCUAUACAGUUUCUCAUGUAAAUUCGAGAGCAGAGGAUUACAGAUAUCGCCGCACCGCAAUAUAGGCGCAUUGCGUAUAACCCAGUUCACCGAUUGGUAGUUCGGCACCAUUGAUCCUUUGUCGUGACAAUGGGCACAGAUAAAUCAACGAAUCUAUCCAUGGUCCAUUUCUAAGGAUCCAUAAACGGUAAUAAAUCAAGCGCUGGUGGUGAGAACUUGAUGGAUCUACAUGAACUGAUCGAUAUCGAAGCAACGAUUCCGAUCAAUGUAUUCUCGCGAUCAAAAUCUUCUAAAAGAAGAUAUUAUAAAUUAUUAUUUUGCCGAAGAUUUAGAUUUAAAAAUUCGAGAUAUCAUUUCUUUUCCACGUGUGAUCUCGAUGCUGAAUUUAAAUUAAAAAUGGAAAAACUUACAAGAUCAUCAAAAUAAAAAAAAUACAUUAUAAUAAGAAGACAAUUGAAAUUGACAUUUUCAGUGAUCGAAGAGAUUCCUCGAAAAUGGAGGGCAUCGAUACAAAUUUAUUCCUUCGAUUCGAUCGAAUGCAAAUGAAAUUUCACGAUAAAUUUUCGAGCCACGUAAUCAUGGAUGAAUCCAGCGUCGACGCAACGUCGACGGGGCAAUUAUUCGAACGAAACGAAUCGCGCGAAUCUAUUCCCCGAUAUUCGUUUCACCAAUAUUAUCAAACGGCGCGUUAAAGUUGGAAAAUCGACGAAAUUCUCGGGCGCGCGUGAAAAAUGAACCCUUCCCCAGAGGGAAUUAUCUAUCGACGUGAAAUAUGCCAACGACGUUCCUUCCGCAAAUUCUGAUUAAUCCUUGGGGACUGUGCGUCACGCGUGUCGCAAUAUGAAACGGCUGCCAAUAGAGCAACGUGGCAAACACGUGGCACAGAUAUCAAACGAUUCAAGUUCGACUUGGAUUCGUCUUAAAAUGAACGUUUCUCGGAAAACAAGAGUCGUUGGAUCUUUUUUUUUUCCUUUUCGAAAAAUCUGAUUUUAAUGAAAAUUCGUAUAUCGUCCACAGUGCAUUGAUUAUCGUAAUUUCAAUUGGAAAUAAUAUUUGUAGAAAAGAGUUCGAGAUUUGAAGAAUUGUUUCAGAAUUUAAAAUUUUAAGCUCUGUCUCGAAAAUAUUGAAAAUUCUUUUGAAGAUAUAAGUUGUUAAGAUGAAGAUGCAUGGAUGCUUUUGAUAAUCGAUUAUAGUAUAGAUAAAUUAGAGGAAAUGAGGAUUAUAUAAAUAAUAUUCCAGUGAAAGAUGAAAAUGGUGAAAAAUCGUAGAAAUGUAGCGUAUAAUAGAUAUGAGAGAAAACAAUGCACCCGGCCUGAUUCUUCGUCUUUAGAAAAUGCUUGUUGGAGGUUAAUAAAUGUUUUGCACGUUGGCUUGACCCGAUCUUAAAAGGUAGCCCGGAUAAAAAUAGCAUAGAGUGCCGUCUAUCGUAAGGGUACACUGUCUGUGGAAGAAGUUACCGUUUCUUGUUGAUCGAUGCGGUUAUUAGUGGACGACGACAGAGAAAGACAAAAAAGAAAAAAAAAGGAAAAACUGGAGCUUCCAAAUCGUGUCACGAUUUUCGAUCCUUCUUCGAUCGAUAUCCUUAAUUGACGAACAAAUCGAGAAGAAUAAACUGAAGGAAAAAAUUUAAUCGAGACGAAAUUUAAUUCGUAAAGAAGUUGCUAAAAUUUGUCAAGUCUUAAGUGUGGAUCAACGACGUUGAAGAAGAUUUUUUUGUCUCUGAAGAAGAUUGCAAAGGGUAAUUUUGAAGCAACGUUUGAUCUAUGAUGGGAUUGAGGAUCAAGAAAAUUUAGAGAAAAGUUAUCAUUGAAGAAAAUUGCGUGUGGAUUAUUUUGAAGUUGGAAUGCUUGAUUUAUGAUUAAGAAUAUUAAAACAAAUAUUUAUUGUAAAGUUUGAUUUAUGAAAGGAUUAAGAAAAUUUAGAAAAAAAGUUAUUAUUGAAGAAAAUUGUAUUUAUUAUAUUUAUUGUAUAUAUAAAUAAAAAUGUAUUUAUUGUAUUUGAUUUAUGAAAGGAUUAAGAAAAUUUAGAAAAAAAGUUAUCAUUGAAGAAAAUUGCGUGUGGAUUAUUUUGAAGUUGGAAUGUUUGAUCUAUGAUUAAGAAUAUUAAAACAAAUAUUUAUUGUAAAGGAUUAUUAUGAAAGGAUUAAGAAAAAAAGUUAUCAUUGAAGAAAAUUGCGUAUGGAUUAUUUUGAAGUUGGAAUGUUUGAUCUAUGAUUAAGAAUAUUAAAACAAAUAUUUAUUGUAAAGGAUUAUUAUGAAAGGAUUAAGAAAAAAAGUUAUCAUUGAAGAAAAUUGCGUAUGGAUUAUUUUGAAGUUGGAAUGUUUGAUUUAUGAUUAAGAAUAUUAAAACAAAUAUUUACUGUUUUUUUUUUUAUUUAAUA